rnacentral:rRNA from 1 species
CAAUAGCGUAUAUUAAAGUUGUUGCAGUUAAAAAGCUCGUAGUUGGAUUUCUGAUCGAGACAUCAGGUCGGGUCCGAGAGGAUCAUGCACUUUGAUUUUGUUUUGAUCAUCCUUGGGGAGAGCAUUUCUGGCAUUCAGUUGUCGGGAUUGGGAUCCUCAUCGUUUACUGUGAAAAAAUUAGAGUGUUCAAAGCAGGCCUCGGCCUCUGAAUACAUUAGCAUGGAAUAAUAAGAUAGGACUUUGGUGGUCUAUUUUGUUGGUUUGCACGCCAAAGUAAUGAUUAAUAGGGAUAGUUGGGGGUAUUCGUAUUCAAUUGUCAGAGGUGAAAUUCUUGGAUUUAUGGAAGACGAACUACUGCGAAAGCAUUUACCAAGGAUGUUUUCAUUAA